rnacentral:rRNA from 1 species
UACGGAGGGUGCAAGCGUUAUCCGGAUUCACUGGGUUUAAAGGGUGCGUAGGAGGGCAGGUAAGUCAGUGGUGAAAUCUCCGAGCUUAACUUGGAAACUGCCGUUGAUACUAUCUGUCUUGAAUACCGUGGAGAUGAGCGGAAUAUGUCAUGUAGCGGUGAAAUGCCUAGAUAUGACAUAGAACACCAAUUGCGAAGGCAGCUCGUUACACGAAUAUUGACUCUGAGGCACGAAAGCGUGGGGAGCGAACAGG